rnacentral:rRNA from 1 species
UGAUCCAGCAAUGCCGCGUGUUUGAAGAAGGCCUUCGGGUUGUAAAGCACUUUGUCCGGAAAGAAAACCUCGUGGUUAAUACCCGUGGGGGAUGACGGUACCGGAAGAAUAAGCACCGGCUAACUACGUGCCAGCAGCCGCGGUAAUACGUAGGGUGCAAGCGUUAAUCGGAAUUACUGGGCGUAAAGCGUGCGCAGGCGGUUCGCUAAGACAGAUGUGAAAUCCCCGGGCUUAACCUGGGAACUGCAUUUGUGACUGGCGGGCUAGAGUAUGGCAGAGGGGGGUAGAAUUCCACGUGUAGCAGUGAAAUGCGUAGAGAUGUGGAGGAAUACCGAUGGCGAAGGCAGCCCCCUGGGCCAAUACUGACGCUCAUGCACGAAAGCGUGGGGAGCAAACAGGAUUAGAUACCCUGGUAGUCCACGCCCUAAACGAUGUCAACUAGUUGUUGGGGAUUCAUUUCCUUAGUAACGUAGCUAACGCGUGAAGUUGACCGCCUGGGGAGUACGGUCGCAAGAUUAAAACUCAAAGGAAUUGACGGGGACCCGCACAAGCGGUGGAUGAUGUGGAUUAAUUCGAUGCAACGCGAAAAACCUUACCUACCCUUGACAUGUAUGGAACCUGGCUGAGAGGCCGGGGUGCCCGAAAGGGAGCUAUAACACAGGUGCUGCAUGGCU